rnacentral:rRNA from 1 species
GACGAACGCUGGCGGCGUGCUUAACACAUGCAAGUCGAGCGGGAACCUCGGGAGGGGUAACCCUUCCGAGGGGAGAGCGGCGAACGGGUGAGUAACACGUGGGCAACCUGCCCCGGACACCGGGAUAACCCAGGGAAACCUGAGCUAAUACCGGAUACUCCGGCACGAUCGCAUGGUCGUUCCGGAAAGCUCCGACGGUCCGGGAU